ACAGACAGAAAGAGAGUGUCAAGUUUCCAAUUUAACUCAAAGCUUCCCUGAUGAAAACAUGGCUGUAGUAGGAGACCAAGAUGCAACUGAGUUGUGCAGAACAACAGAUUCUGUCACAGAAGUGUGGAGCUCAGUCCGGGUGUGGGCACAUCCACACAUGUCCUGAAAGCACAGCUGUGUUCGAGGAAGGCCUCAUUGAGUAUUUCUCUCAGCUGUGUGAAACAACCUCGGCUCUCACUAACUCGACAAGCAGGCAGGAACAGAGCCAAAAAACACAGCCGUAAAAAUAAGACACCACUCUGGAAACACCAUCAGGGCCGC